GUCCCUGUAGCGCAGAGGAUCGCGCGUUGGACUUCUAAUCCAAAGGCCGAGGGUUCGAAUCCCACCAGGGAUG